UUUUUGUAAUGCUGAUGAAAGUAAUAGGUGAGACAGUAAAAACAGAAAGAGUGCACUGCAAGCAGGAAAAGCCACAGCCUCUUUCCCCACUACCCCUCUCCUUCCUUGCCUCAACAAGCUGCUUCCAGUUUUCACCCUCUGUUUGCUUCUCUAGGAGGGUCCAACUAUGUGGAAGCUGUCACCUUUGAUGGAAUUUAUCUGAUACCAUAUAACAUAGGUAAGACACUUAAUGUUCUGGUUAGCUACUGCAAAGUAACAAAUUAUUCUUACAUCUUAGAUGCUUCAAAAAAAUAAUCAACUUACAAUAUUUCAUGAUCCUCUACAUGAGGACUUUGACCGGGGCCCAGUGGGUCAUUCUUACAAUUCUGAGGCCUUCUUAGUGAGGACUGGCAGCCAAAACACCUCCACAUAGCUUCUCUAGCAUGGAAGUCUCAGGGUCUUCGUAAGUCUUCCACCAUGACUCAGAAAUCUCAGAGAGUGAUCUCAGAGAUGGGAAAUGAAAGCUGCUAUUUUCCUAAGGCCUUGGCUAAGAAACUGUGACCUGGUUAUUUCUGCCAUAUUCUAUUGAUCAAAGCAGUCACAGACCCCUCUCAGAUUCAAGUGGAGGGAAAAAAAGAUUUGCAGACCUCCUAUUGCUGGAUAUGUAUUUAAAUAAGGGGCCCAGCUACUACACUUCAAAGUCCACAUCUCCCAACCAGUGAUUGAGAAUUGUGCAGAUUAUAAGGCAGACCUAUUUCUGGAAGACACAGGACUCCUUUGCCAGUCACCUUUGGCCCAAGGACUCCCCAACAGCUUUGCUGAACCUUCCUUAGAUACACAACAAUCUGCGGUGCCCCCACGCUUCCUUCCGUCUCUCCUGCACUGAGUUGGACUCGCCCUGCUGUCUGCUGACUCCCCAGACUUCCCUGACUUCUUUUCUAUUUCCAUUCACAUAGGCAUGGCCUCUAAUAAAAUCCUUGCUUAUUUAAUGCUAUUUUGCUGUCUAAUUCUUAAAUUAGAAUAUUAUACUCUACUAAUAUAAAUUAGUAUAUUAUACUCUACUAAUAUAGACUAGCAUAUUAUACUAUACUAAUAUAAAUUAGUAUAUUAUACUCAUACUAAUAUAAAAUUUCACCUUUCAGUGGAAGGAGAGUCAAAGAAUUUGUGGCUAUUUUAAGUCACACAUCAUUUCUUUUUCCAUGCCCCACCCCUGGAACCUUCUCAAGGUGUUUGACUUCAACCAGAGUUGAAGAUCCCCCAUCUGCAAUACUGCUGCACCCCCACCUCAAGCCCCAGCUGAUUGAACCCCAGGUGGAUUCCUGAUUCAGGCAAUCCACAGGCUGGGCUGAAGCAAUCAUGAUGUCUCUCUAAGGAAUAUUAAUUAAAAGCCACAGAGACCCCAGUCAGUUUUAAGGAGGUGUGCCGCCAGAAACCAGGGUCAGCACCAUACCAAACCAAAGUUAUGGAGGAGUAAAAACCAAAAGUCUUGCAGAAGCAGCAGAUUUGGAGACAAAAAAAGCAGAACCCACAUGCAGAAAGAAAAGAGAGGCACCACGUGACCCUUGAGACAAAGUGACAGACAUUCCAGUGCUGCCAGACAGAUUUCCAGUAUCUGUGAGGUCCUGCUGUGCACCAGAGAAGAGAGUUCUGGGAAAACCCCUGCUAUGGGUUGAACUGUAUUCCCCAAACAUUCAUAUGUUGGAGCCUUAACCUCCAGGACCUUAGAAUGGGACCUUACUUGGAAAUAGAGUCAUUGCAGAUGUAAUUAGUUAAGCUGAGUUCCUACUGGAGUAGGGUGGGCCCCUAAUCCAAUAUAUUGUUGUCCUUAUAAAAAGGGGAAGUCUGGAGAAUAGUUAUCCUUCCAAGAUAAACUAUUUGCCAAAUAUGUAACAGAGUAACCAGCCAUUUCCAUAUGGGAUUUCUAGUCAUUUCCCAGUUAAAAAUUAAGGAAUAGGUACACGCAGUAAGAGCACUCAGUGAAGAUGAGGGCAGAGAUCAAGAUGCCACAUCUACAAACCAAGGAACACCAAAGAUUGCCAGAAACUAUCAGAAGCUAGGGGAAAGGCAUGGAACAGUUACUUCUUCACAGCCGUCAGAAGGAACCAACCCUGUUGACACCCGGACCUCAGACGUGAAGCCUCCAGAACCGUGAGAUACAAAAUUCCUGUUGUUUAAGCCACUCAGUUUGUGGUACUUUGUUAUGGCAGCUCUGGAAAAUGAAUAUGACCCCUAUAACUGCAUUUCCAUGUGAGCUCAUUUAAGUGGGUGUCUGUUCCUUGAAGAAGAAAAAUGAUAUGAAUCAAAACAUCCCACCUAAACUGCCUUUGCUCUGAGCAGAGGGAACACCCUCUGGCAGAGCCAGGGUUCUUCUCAGAAAAUUAUUCCCAGUCUCCUCCAGGACUAAGAUAAAUGAAUGAGCAAAGUUUAAAAGUUCUCUUCUAAAGAACAUGGUCAAAAUAGUUUUAGCCUGUAAAAUUUGAAGGCAGAUAAAACCAGAAUUCAGCCUUGGCAGAAUAAACUCUCAAUAAAGUAACCUCAGAUCCUUAGCUCCGAACACCACUUUUUUUUUUCCUGUAUUCCUUCCAAGAUAAACUAUUAGCCAGAUAUGUAACAGAGUAACCAGUCAUUUUUAUAUGGGAUUGUUAUUCAUUGCCCAGUUGAAAAUUAAAGAAUCAGUACAAAAAAAAAAAAAACAAAACACUUUUGUUCUAGGAAAGAGAAUCAGAUAUCCUUUUUUAGCAAUAAUUAACUAGCAAGGUCGUGCUGUCACCACGGUUUUUAAAAUACCCUUUUGUCUUUCAUGGCAAGUGUAUGCAUCUAGACCAUCUGAAAGUGGCUCUAGAACAUGAAAAUAUAAAUGUAAAACAAGAAAGGGGCAGGAAAAGAAUGAGGAGCAGGCAAAACAUAACCACGUGUUGGCUAUUUCUAACUCCCUGGUCCAGGAGUACUCAUUAAUCACUCUAAUCCCACAGAAGUAUAAUGAUUCUGAAUAUCUACAUAUGCCACAAAUUAUCUAAUACUGUUCCUGAUUUACUAGGUGUGGAGUGGCCAUAUAUAAAACCUGACUGUUACUCACAUAAAAUAUUGGCCUGAAACUCUCAGACU
rnacentral:lncRNA from 1 species